rnacentral:rRNA from 1 species
UACGAAGGGUGCAAGCGUUACUCGGAAUUACUGGGCGUAAAGCGUGCGUAGGUGGUUUUUUAAGUCCGUUGUGAAAGCCCUGGGCUCAACCUGGGAAUGGCAGUGGAUACUGGAAAGCUAGAGUGCGGUAGAGGGUAGUGGAAUUCCCGGUGUAGCAGUGAAAUGCGUAGAGAUCGGGAGGAACACCAGUGGCGAAGGCGGCUCUCUGGGCAGAUACUGACACUGAGACGCGAAAGCGUGGGUAGCAAACAGGG